CGGAAAUUGCUACAUUUGCAAAUAUAAAAUCAAAUUUGACCGCAUCACCGAAAGUUAAGCAGCAACUAGUGUAGUCGCCUUCGCAUCAUUUGCGAAUUUUCCGCAUUUAUUGUUAUUCAAUUGUACCGAAAUCAAUCCGCAAUCGUUAAUAAAUUCAAAGUCGGUGGAAACGCGGUCAGUUUGAUAUACAAAUGUACGAAAAAACUGCACAAUCCAAAGCAGAGAAAAACAAAAAAAAAAUAAUAAUAAUAAAAUAAAAUGCAGAACCCGAACCGACAGAGUUGUGAACGCAAACACGGUACAAAGUGAAAUAACAAGGCAAAAUGGCAGCGCACAACGCCAAAGAGAGCGAGAGCGGCAAGAGAACAAGAGAGCGUCACAACGGCGAAAUAUGUAUUCGCCGCCGACUCUGACUCGACCACAUUUGCUGCUGCCGCCACUGCCACCGCCACCUCAGCUGCUGCUGCUGCUGUCACUCUUCUCUCUUCUGUUAAUUUUGCGUGUUUUAAUCGGAAAUGAAAGAGGCAAUGGAUUUUGAUUUAAAUAUGGCGCAAGUACUAAAGUCCCGAACGGAUGCAUAACAUUUUGAAACAACAAAGCAACAAUUUAACUAUUGAAAUAUAUAUUUGUAUUCCGUUAUUGCUCAGGCAUUUGUAUUGGUAAACGAAAGCACGACGAAAGCACACGAUGUUGCUCUUUCGCU